rnacentral:rRNA from 1 species
UACAGAGGUCUCAAGCGUUGUUCGGAUUCAUUGGGCGUAAAGGGUGCGUAGGUGGCGCCGUAAGUCAGGUGUGAAAUUUCGGAGCUUAACUCCGAAACUGCAUUUGAUACUGCAGUGCUUGAGGACUGGAGAGGAGACUGGAAUUUACGGUGUAGCAGUGAAAUGCGUAGAGAUCGAUAAGGAAGACCAGUGGCGAAGGCGGGUCUCGUGGACAGUUCCUGACACUGAGGCAGCGAAGGCCAGGGGAGCAAACGGG